CCUCGAUCUAUUUUUCUAAGGCGCUAAAUUACGUAAAUGUUCGACGAAAACUCAAUAUUUUCUUUGCGUUUCCUCGACGAAAGCCGUGAACAAAAGCCGUGAACAAAAGCGUGCAUAUUGCAAUUGAAGUUUCAACUUCCACAUACGAAUCUGUCACGUGAUUUACCACCGCCGGUACAACGCACAACACGACACGAAAUUUAGAGCUAUAUGAAAGUUGCAUGCCCAUAUAUGGGCAUGCAACAAAAACUGUACCAAAAGUAGCACCAUCUUUGACUACUAAGCCCUAUUUUCGGAUGAUGUCUGGGGGUGCUAAGUGCACUACCCGCACUACCCGUCGUAGAACCCCCCUCCCCUAUACUACUUACCACGCAGUUAAAAUAACUGCUAUCAACAAGAGUUGCAUUGAAAAAAGCCCGGUUAAUUAGGUCUGGAUGUCAUUUUAAAUUCCAGUAACAAAGUUGGAGAAUUAUCACAAAGACCCGCAUAGGUAGGGGACCCAUGCUGGUACAAAUUCAUUUUCAUUACUACAUCAAUCACACACAUGCAGGGAAAGGUCUGUAACAACGAUAAUAUUAAACUUCAUGUUACAUGUAAAUGUUUAGUUGAAAUUCAAGUAAAAUCCUUGCAUGAAAUCCAAGUUAUGUUUGGUGAUCAGUGGCGUAGCAAGCUCGAUAAUUGGGGGGGGGGGGAUAUUCAAAUAUUUGUGUUCUGCAUUAUUAAUUUCUUUUGGAAUCGAUUGUUUUUAAGGUCUGUGAACACGAAUAUAUGAAUGCUGCCCCCCCCCAAUUAUCGAGCUUGCUAUACGCCACUGUUGGUGAUGACUAGAUUGGUGAGAAGAACAGGAAUAUUUAGACGCGUAAUUUGAAUAUGGUCAAUUUAUAUAUUGCACGACAAAAGUACUGCACGACAGAAACACUGCACAACAAUAUAUCGGCCAUACUGUAUUAUAUAUACAUAUAUAUAUAUAUAUAUAUAUAUAUAUAUAUAUAUAUAUAUAUAUAUAUAUAUAUAUAUAUAUAUAUAUAUAUAUAUAUAUAUAUAUAUAUAUAUAUAUAUAUAUAUAUAUAUAUAUAUAUAUAUAAGUUCUACCACUCAAAAAAAUACACCACAUACUAUAUAAAACAUUGCCUAUAAAACAAUACAGAUAAAGCCUACGCUAAUAUCAGAGGUAAAAGACCUAGAAUAACCCUAAAAGAUAAAAAAACCCUCAUGAUUGUCUUGUUAAGACAAACAAGCAGAUAUAGCGUUCUUACAGUGAUGACCUGUCUUCACUUCGAUUCUAAACAAUUUGUUGUUCGAACACAUACACAGUCGAUAUGUCGUGCCUGCAUCAGUGCUUGAAGGUUCUGGGACAUUCUUGAAACUAUAUUUUGAUGCUUUGAAUGUCAGCAUAUCCU